rnacentral:misc_RNA from 1 species
GAUGAAGAACGCAGCGAAAUGCGAUAAGUAAUGUGAAUUGCAGAAUUCAGUGAAUCAUCGAAUCUUUGAACGCACAUUGCGCCCCCUGGUAUUCCGGGGGGCAUGCCUGUUCGAGCGUCAUUUCACCACUGAAGCCUCGCUUGGUAUUGGGCAACGCGGUCCGCCGCGUGCCUCAAAUCGACCGGCUGGGUCUUCUGUCCCCUAAGCGUUGUGGAAACUAUUCGCUAAAGGGUGUUCGGGAGGCUACGCCGUAAAACAACCCCAUUUCUAAGGUUGACCUCGGAUCAGGUAGGGAUACCCGCUGAACUUAAGCAUAUCAAUAAGCGGAGGA